UACGUAGGGGGCGAGCGUUGUCCGGAUUUAUUGGGCGUAAAGAGCUCGUAGGCGGUUUGGUAAGUUGGAUGUGAAAUCUCCAGGCUCAACUUGGAGGGGUCAUUCGAUACUGCCAUGACUAGAGUUCGGUAGGGGAGUGUGGAAUUCCUGGUGGAGCGGUGAAAUGCGCAGAUAUCAAGAGGAACACCAGUGGCGAAGGCGAGUCCCUGGACAACACCUGACACUGAGGCACGAAAGCCGGGGGAGCAAACAGG
rnacentral:rRNA from 1 species